CCUACGGGUGGCAGCAGUGGGGGAUAUUGCACAAUGGGGGGAACCCUGAUGCAGCGACGCCGCGUGGGUGAAGGAGUGCUUCGGCAUGUAAAGCUCUAUCGGCAGGGAAGUAGAAAGACGGUACCUGACUAAGAAGCCCCGGCUGACUACGUGCCAGCAGCCGCGGUACUACGUAGGGGGCAAGGGUUAUCCGGAUUUACUGGGUGUAAAGGGGGCGAAGACGGCUAUGCAAGCCAGGAGUGAAAGCCCGGGGCCCAACCCCGGGACUGCUGUUGGAACUGGCUGGCUGGAGUGCAGGAGGGGCAGGCGGAAUUCCUAGUGUAGCGGUGAAAUGCGUAGAUAUUAGGAGGAACACCAGUGGCGAAGGCGGCCUACUGGACUGUGACUGACGUUGAGGCCCGAAGGCGUGGGGAGCAAACAGGAUUAGAUACCCUAGUAGUC
rnacentral:rRNA from 1 species